rnacentral:tRNA from 1 species
UUUAAAUAGUUUAUUAAAAAUUUUGAUUUGUGGGAUCAAGGAAAUAGUUAUGUAUUUUAAAU